rnacentral:sRNA from 1 species
CUUCCUCGUCUUCUUCGAUUCAUCAAACA